rnacentral:rRNA from 1 species
UUUCGAAUUAUUCACAAUGGGCGAAAGCCUGAUGGUGCGACGCCGCGUGGGGGAUGAAGGUCCUUGGAUUGUAAACCCCUGUCACCGGGGAAGAAACGUCAUGCAAUAACAUUGCAUGGCCUGACUUAACCCGGAGAGGAAGCAGUGGCUAACUCUGUGCCAGCAGCCGCGGUAAUACAGAGACUGCAAGCGUUAUUCGGAUUCACUGGGCGUAAAGGGUGCGCAGGCGGCCGUGUGUGUUAGGCGUGAAAGCCCGAGGCUCAACCUCGGAAUUGCACCUAAAACUACACGGCUAGAGUACUGGAGAGGGUAGCGGAAUUCACGGUGUAGCAGUGAAAUGCGUAGAUAUCGUGAGGAACACCAAUGGCGAAGGCAGCUACCUGGACAGUUACUGACGCUCAGGCACGAAAGCGUGGGGAGCAAAAGGG